CUUGUCUUUUGCGCACUUGUUGUUUCCUGGGCGGGUUCGCUCGCCACCAGGACCACACCAUAAACCUUUUUGUUAAUGCAAUCAGCGUCAGUAAAAAGUAAUAAUUAUUUUACAACUUUCAACAACGGAUCUCUUGGUUCUGGCAUCGAUGAAGAACGCAGCGAAAUGCGAUACGUAGUGUGAAUUGCAGAAUUCAGUGAAUCAUCGAAUCUUUGAACGCACAUUGCGCCCUUUGGUAUUCCAAAGGGCAUGCCUGUUCGAGCGUCAUUUGUACCCUCAAGCUUUGCUUGGUGUUGGGCGUUGUUUGUCUUUGGCCUUGCCCAAAGACUCGCCUUAAAACAAUUGGCAGCCGGCCUACUGGUUUCGCAGCGCAGCACAUUUUUGCGCUUGCAAUCAGCAAAAGAGGUUGGCCAUCCAUCAAGACUACAUUUAUACGUUUGACCUCGGAUCAGGUAGGGAUACCCGCUGAACUUAAGCAUAUCAAUA
rnacentral:rRNA from 1 species